UACGGAGGGUGCAAGCGUUGUCCGGAAUCACUGGGCGUAAAGGGCGCGUAGGCGGCUCAUGAAGGCUGUGGUGAAAGUCCGGGGCUCAACCUCGGAUCGGCCGUGGCGACUCGUGGGCUGGAGCACUGUAGAGGCGGGUGGAAUUCCGGGUGUAGCGGUGGAAUGCGUAGAGAUCCGGAAGAACACCGGUGGCGAAGGCGGUCUGCUGGGCAGUAGCUGACGCUGAGGCGCGACAGCGUGGGGAGCAAACAGG
rnacentral:rRNA from 1 species